UUCUUAUCCAAACUGAUCGUGAGUUAUGGGGACAAGAUGCACAUGAAUUUAAUCCAAAUAGAUUUUCAGAAGGUGUUUCUAAAGCAACAAAAAAUCCAUGUGCUUAUGUACCAUUUGGUUGGGGUCCUAGAAUAUGCAUAGGACUAAACUUUGCCAUGAUUGAAGCAAAAAUGGCAUUAUCAAUGAUCCUACAACGCUUCUCAUUUCAGCUUUCUCCAUCAUACACACACACUCCUAUUGCAGGUUUAACAACACAACCUCAACAUGGAGCUCAUAUCAUACUACACAAACUCUAGCUACCUUCUUAAACUAUGUACUAACUUGCACAAUUAUCAUAGUUAAGAAUAGGAAUGUUUGCUAUUUUUGCUUGUAAUUUCCAAUACUUUGCGAAAAAGUUAGCUACACAUGUUCUAGAUAUAUUUUCCUUUCAACUAAAUUCUCUUUUUCAUUUUUCACUAGCUCUUAAAUAAACAAUUUUCAAGAUAAUAGCAUCUACUCCUUUUUCAGCUCGGGAUGAUUAAUUAAUCCUUGUAAUUGUACCAUUUUUGUCUAAUAUGAAGAAAAAAUCUCAAUAGUCAUAAAUAAUUAGUUCAUUAUUCAACAUGGUGAAGUUUACGCCCUGAAACUGACCUUUUUUUUUUUUGCUCAUAGUUAUUUUUCUGCAAUGAGCUUCUCAGCAACAUUCUACUAAACUUCUACCAUAAAAAAAACAUACAACACAACAAACAAAUAUUCCAAAUGAGAUUAUGAAACUAUACCCACAAACUGUAAUACUCAUUACAUAUAAAUUCAAGAAGAGGGUGUAAUUCUUGGAAACAACGUGUAACUACAACUACAUUAUUAAUUUGGACUAAGUCUUUUUUAUUGAGCUCAUACUUGCAAAAGCAAACAAGAAUAGAGGUCAUGGAAGUCUUUGUACACUACUACAAAACUGGUUUUACUUGACACUUAAAACCGGACAAUGUUCUUAUUAUAUUCAGUAGGCUUUUUAUAAUAUGAUCCCUUACGUAGAUGUCCUAGUUAAUAUGAGUAAUGCAAUACCUUUUCAAUCAGAUUCAUAAAAGACAACACAUUUGCAAUGUCGUAUAGCCGCCUUACGUUAGUUGUAUAUAAUAAAAGAUGUAAUUAUCAAGCAUUUCCCCGUUCACAUUCUAAAAUUAAUAUCAAAGUUCAAGAUUUCUUACUUCUCAUUAUUAAUGAAUUGUAGUCAUCUCCUAAUAAAAGCUUAGCAACUUUGUCAAGGGAAAUCAUAUUCACCUAUAAACCCAAUUUCUAUUAGUUAACGGAAAUCGCAAAGAGGCUCAUCAACAAACAGUAAACGAUAAGGUGGUUCAAUUUUUCACUCACAUGACUGCAGAUAAAUAGCUUAACAAUUUCCAAAUUUUGUCUGCAGAUACUAAUAGAAAGUGUAAGGGAAUCUCAUUGUGGGGGGCUACCCAAUUUUAUCUAGCACAACAAACAUAAAAGUUGGAAAUUGAACUACAACCAUACAAAAUGUUGUCCAAAGACAGUUGCAGUUGAGGUCUGGCUGCCAGUUGGAUUGGAAAAUCUUUCAUCCUCAUCUUCAUCAUAUCCAAGACCUAAAUGUGACCAAAUGCAGGACAAGGAAUGGUCAAAUUCCAACCCAUAUACAUGCAACAAAUGGGAAGAAAUGAGGAAAUUUGAACUAAAAAAGGAAAAAUAAACUGGCUUACUUUUGCAUAAUAGUUACCAUCAGAUGCCCAGCAAUUCUCCCUCAAUCCCUCUUCCUAUCAAAUAAUUCAAAACAAAUUACGCCAUUUCCAUAACCCCAAAUGGAGAAAACAGCUGAAAUGAAAUCAGUCCCAACUUUAUUUCUCCCUAGGAAAUUUAUACCGUAAAUAAGAAAGAUAAGUUUAUAAAUAAUCCAAUUUGACCACAGUAAAUAAGGAAGAUAAGUAGGACCUAAACUUAAUUUUUGUGUAUAAUUGAAUUAGUCACAUUUAAGCUAUGUAGACAGACCAUACCCACAAGGCAACCAAGUCUAACCCUAACGAGAUCCACAAACCAACAAGUACAAAUACUGGUUGCUAUUUGCUUGAAUAUUGUAUACAACCAAAAUGUAUAGAACACAAUGACACCUUGGCAAUGAAUUAUUAAAUAAUUAAGACAUUACAAAUAUAUAAUUGCCUCUUAAAAAAACAAAAAAUUAAUCACCUUUAUUAGUAAAAAAAAAAUGUAAUUAAGCUAAUCAAAGAAUAAUUCCAAACACACCACUGUCCCUUUUCUUUAUACUAAAAAACAGAAUCUAAUUAUACAAAAAUUCAAUAUUAAUCAAAGUCUAAAUUAUUAAAAUUACAAAGGAGCACAAAAGUCCCUAAGUUUUAUUUAUAUAUUACAGCAAAUAAUAGUCAAUACAUCUCUAUAUAGUUGAAGAAACUAGAACACAAGACAAAAAACAAAAAACAGAGCAUCAAUGAAAGAACUUAAAAACAAAAAUCAAAAUUCAAUAUCUUCAUUUCCAUCUAGGAUAAUGAUUCUCCUUCUUGCUGUUCUUAAAAGCGCAGCAUCAAAAUGGAGUAAACAAUGAUGAGAAACACAAGUAUAACAAUAUUAGUGAUCGCCACCUUCUUCCAGUUCCUCUUCAAAUUAUCCAACACUCCACCUCAACAAAGCCAUUAACUGUCAAUCUUAAUACAAAGAACAACCACUUCACCAAAAAUUGAAGAUGCAUCUUCACCAACACCUAAGAUAAUUUACAGAAAAAGAAUCGACUUAUCCUCAAGGAAAAGAAAUAUUAGUGAACAAAUAAACUGUCAGCGGUAGUAAAAAGAAAAGAAAUAGCUUAAUAACAUUCAAUGUACCUGGUAAAAAAAUUAUACACACAACUAAAGUAUCAUGGGAGACAACUGUACAAAUAUAAUCUACUCAAACUUGAAACAAAUCAAUUCAAUCUGAGUGUUCAUUUCCUACAACGUGGAUAUCAGUAUAUACCUAAUACACAAAGUUCUUAGUAAGCGCACCACAACAAAGGAUCUAGAGAUAAUGUUGUUGUAAUUUAUGUCCUAAAACUCUUGUAAAUAUAAUUCAUUAACCGUUUUAAUAAAAUGUUAUUAAUGUAAUAAUUGUUAUUAAUUAUGUUAUUAGUUUUGUUUUAAUGACUCAAAUUCAAUAAAUUAAUAUUCUAAGCUGUAUAAUGAGUUUUGAACAUAUUUAGAGACAUACAAUGAUCAAUGUUCGAGAUCAGCUUAAAGGAUUUACAGUAUAGAGAUAAGGAUGAGUACCUUAUCCUGGUAACACAAUGGAUAUGACGAUUUGUAUGGGUGAGAGUCGUCAAAUCGCCGACUUAAUAAGCUUAUCAUUUUGGGGACAAGACCGAGUGGGGAGCUGGGAACAUAAUUACACAAGAUAGAAUUCACUCAUUCCCUAUUUUAAGGUAAGUAAAUGGGUGUUCCCUUAAAUGAUGUCUCCAGGUCUUGAACAAAGAACCCUACCCUCUCUAUGGAACAAGAGAAAUUUUUGUUUAUUGGUAGAACCAUAAACAAGUUGUUCAUUGGAGAAACACUAAUAUUUAAGGAUUAGAGGUAACCUAGGGGUAAAACAGUAAAUUGACACAGCUGGUGUUAUGAACACUCGUGAAGGACUAACUUAUUGUUAUUGGUCUAUAUCCGUGGACACAAAAAUAUAUCUAAAGUGAGAAGAAAACAAUUUUCUUUAACUUAAACCAACAAAAUUCAUUAAGAAAAAAUCUCUCAAAUAUCUUUAAACAUUUUCCUUUCCAAUUGGUUUCUACAAACCAAUCUCGUCCCAGAUGAUAGGAAGGUCUCCGACGGGUGGUGUCCCUAGUGAUUUGUAGAUAGAGAGACGUCAUCGAAAGUAAGUUCUAUGAAUCUUUUAAUUUAAAGGCAUGCUUAGUUUUUAUUUAGAAUUUUGAUUCUAAAAUUUUGUCAAUGUACUGCUAUUUUAACAUUCUCAAAUUAGUUUGGGAAACGGUUCUUUAAAUUCUUCUGUUACGUAGGGUUUUUAUCCCUUCAAUAUAUAUGUCAAUAUAAGUCUUCUUAUUUUGUUGAAAAAAUACGAAAACACCUAAAAAAAAUAUGGAUUCUUGAUUUUCUUGAUGGGUAAAGUUUUCUUAGUUUCGUUGAUGGCCCACAAACAUCAAGAAAACUAUUUCUUGAUGGAUAAUAAACAUCAAGAAUAACAUAUUAAUUAGUUGAUUAACAAUGCCCAUCAGAUUAAUUAGGUUUUCUUGAUGGAUGAGGCCCAUCAAUGAAUGAAUUUUCUUGAUUUGCAAUGGCCAUCAUCGAAAAAAAAUAAUAUAUUUGUUUUGGAUUUCUUGAUGGGUUUAGAAUUUUCUUGAUGAAUCUAGGAUUUCUUGAUGCACAAAAACAAAAAACAGAUCAUCAACAAGGUCCAUUAAGAAAAAUGAUAUCUUAAUGGACAUCGUAACCAGUGGUGUUCAUUCUAUUUUCUAAUAUUUUGUCUAUUCGUUGGUCUACAUACUUAAUUUGGGUGAUUUUCAUAAGGAUAACACAGGAAUGAAAGAUGAAUUAGGAUUGGAAAAUGCUCAAAAAAAAUGGUCUUUCUUUAAUGUCAACCAUGUAUGAAUGUACCCAUUUCUUGUUUACUCCUCUCACUCCUCAUUCCAUCCUCUUAUUUCUUACUCACGUUCCUCGUCAACAUAGCAUUAAACCACUUUUGAAUUUUCUUUUCCAUAGUUGAUUCUAACAGAAAGAGGAGAAGAAAAAAAAAGUGAAAACGAAAAAGACAGGAAGAUAUGUUAGAGUCUAAGGAUGAUAGCUAUUAGAUUCAAAGUAUUAACAUAAAUGGUAACAUUUUGCAAAAAAAUAUUACAAAUAUAACAAAAUAUGUUAGAGUCUAAAAGUCUAUCAACAACUUUGAUAUAUUUGCAAUUUUUAAAAGUGUUAUUAUACAUUUCAUAAUUAUCUCUAAAAUUGCUACAUGAACACUAUUAUAUGUGUGAUGUCGAUCGAUCGGUGAGUCUAAAAUCUCAUUGUACCUACUCUUAUAGAAUAAAUAGUCAAAUUUUGCAUGUGUCAAAACUGAUACUGAUGACACCCAUUUGGUUGGUUUUAGUAAACCAGAACGAAUUUUGGGCCCACCCAUGUUUGAGAGUUAGGUUGUAUAUAAUUGAGUUGAAUUGGAUUAAUGAUAUUUGUUGCAUUUAUUUAUGACCUAAAUUGUUUUUGUAUUAGUUAUCUUUGUUUACUUAACCUUUUACAUAACUAUUAAUUAUCCAUUAUGCUUAUAAUAUACAUAUAGCCACGUGUCACCUUUCCUCACAUCCAACUUCUAUGUCAUAUCUUGACUAUGUAAUCCACGUCAUGGUUAUCAAAUUGUUUAUAAAUAGAGACAUUUAGUGAGUUUUGAAGAAUACACAUAUCGGUGAAAUGUCCAAAGAAACGAAAGAAAGUGGACUUUGUGGAGAUUUUAGUUUGAGAUUUUCUAAUUUCUAACAUUUCUUUAAUUUUUAUUUUCUUUCUUUAUUUUAUUUAGAUUUUUUUUUAAAAAAAGUAAAUUUUAUAAAAUAAUUAACAGUUAUAACAAAUUCUAUGCUGAUAGUCGUUGAUAUGCUAUAUUAGUAGAAUCCAAAAAUUUACUAACUUAUGUAUAUUUUAUUUUAUUUUAUUAUUUUUAAAAAUGUUUCAUUUAUUUUAAUAUUAUAUAUUUUCAAUUUUUGUAUUUUGGCUAUGCCUUAUUUUUACACAAGAAACUAUUGCUUAAAUGAAACUACCAUAUAUAUUUGCUUUCAUAUGAAUUUUAGAAGCAAAAGUAGUAUUUGAUAUUUCAUAUUAUGUUGAAAAAAUAAGAAUAGGUUUUCAAUAAUUUAGUUGACGAAGACCCCACCAAAAUGAUAUUUUUCAAAAAUACUAUUAACCGUCAAAAUAUCAAUGUGUGGACUAUAUAAUAUAUCUUUCAAUAAUUCAAUUAAUGAUUGUCCUAUCUAAUUACGACGAAUUACAAAGGUUACGUAAAUGACAUGACUACUUCCUUCUAUCAAUUUUUCUUGGACCUCAAGAAUAAACAUAUAUAUAAUAUAUAGACUUUCUUUUUUGUUUUUGAAAAAAUCUAAAUUUGUAUCUAUUUCAACAAGUAUAGAACAAUAAUAUUCUUGGACUUCAAGUAAACUAUUUUUGUGACUUAUUACGUGGAAUUGAUUUAAGAAAAAAAAUACUUUUGUUUCCAUUUUUUAAAUUAAAUAUUUUAAAAUAUAUUCCAAACACACUUUUAAUAAUAAUCAUUGCUGAAAAAAAAUGUACCUAAGCUCUCUAUAAUUUAUUAUUGAUUGAAAGCAUGGUGUUGAAGGUUUGAACCUACAUUUUAAGUAUCUAAAAACAUAUUUUUUCUUUUUGUUUUUUUCUAUAGUAUUAACAAAUAAAAGAAAAGUAAUGAACAUCAUUUAAACUUCAGAGACAAAAUAUAAAAUAUAUAUCAGUAGUAGGUUCAGAUUGGCUUCUAAAUCAACUUAGUACAUUCAAAAAGUCAUAAAAUUAUUAUAAUUUAAGUAGUCAAAUCAUUGUUCGAAUUUAGUGAUGAUUUAAUUUAAGAUUUUAUAAAUAUCUGGAAAUAAAAAAUGUCUAGAAAAUAUGCAUGAUGUAUGAAAAUAAAAAAAAAAAUGAUUAUGUUUGGUUGUCGUGAAAAGUGCUAUGGAAAUUUUAUAAAAAAAAAUGUGUUCUGUAUUUUAUUGUUAAAAGUUGAGUAAUUAAGUAAUUAAUAAUUAAAAUUAACCAAAAAUCAAAGUAAUUGUCCAAUUAAUAUAUUUUAAUGAAAGUGUUACUAAUUAAUAAAUUGUGGAUGAAAAUGUUAUUAACUUUUCCUAAGAGUAAUUAAUGUCUGUUAUUUUUGUUGUUGUUGGACAUAAAUAAAUGAUAUUUUAUCUAAAUUGUUUGAUUCCUUAAAAAAAAAACCUGACAAAUUGUAUGCAAUAAUAAAGUAUUAAAUCAUCCAAAUUUAAUUUUCAAUAAUUUGAUUCUAAAGUUUAUGUCACUGAAUUUUCAAAUUCAAUCAGUUAGGGUAAUUAUUUUCUACGCAUGGUAGCCGUUUUUCCUUUUUAAAAAACUCUUAAUUUUUAUUAUAUAUAUAUAGUGAUAAAAAUUGCAAAGAUUUUGGAGUUAUAAAUAGAAGAAUAGAAACGUUAGAGAACUCUAUACCCAAUCUUAUUGUUUCUUCAAUUAUUGAGAUUUCAAAGAUGUGGUAUGCUCCCGAUACAAUAAUAAGUAUUGUUUUAGUGUUAUUAUUAUUAUUGGGAUGGAAAUUAGCUGAUUGGAUUUGGUUCCGCCCCAAGAAAUUAGAGAAGCUUUUAAGACAGCAAGGAUUCGCCGGAAAUUCUUACCGGAUUCUCCACGGCGACUUGAAGGAGAGAGCCGCCAUGAGAGAAGAAGCAAUGUCCAAGCCCAUGAACUUCUCCAACCAUAUUGCUCCACGUGUCAUUCCCUCUAUCUAUCAUACCAUCCAACGUUAUGGUAACACUUUUAUUCCCUAUUUUUCCUUCUCAUAUAUCCUUUUCUUCUUCUUCUUCAAAUAAGAUUUCAAAGAAAUAAAUUAAAAUUAGGGUUUCAUUUGGUAUUGAAGAGCUGUGUUUUAUAUGAUUACAUUUCUAUUUACUGUUUGAAAAUUAAUUUAUUACUUCUAUCCAUUUUCAAUCAAUGUUUUACAAAAGUAAUGCAAAUUUUUAAAGACUAAAACUGCUCUAGUCUUUUCCUUUUCAGAAUUUACUUAUUUUUACUUCACAAAAAUGAAAACCAUGGUAUGCAAUUGGGAGGCUUAAUUUAAUUUCUAUCUUAAAAGAAUGUAAAAAAAAAACAAUUUGUAUGCUCUCAUGGAAGUAACAUAUAUACUAUGUAUUUGCUGAAAAUAUUGAGUCACUAGUUAGUUUAUCGAUUUAUUUAGGAAAGAAAUCUUAUUAAAUUGUAACACUAAAUUCUAAAAUAGAGAUUAAAUAAUUACAAAUUUUAAAGAAUAGUAACUAAAUUUUUCUAUAGUAAAGAUCAGGGACUAUGGAUUAAAUCGUGAUAAAAUAAAGUAUAAAAACUAAAUUGCUAUAUUAUUGUAUAAGAACUAAGUUAUGUACUGGGAUUUUAAUAUAUUCAGCAGCCAACCUAUAUUUACAUACAUAGUUUAACAGAAUAAAAUAUAGAUAGGAUAGAAAAAUAGAAAAUUUAUUGUAAUGGGAAGAAGUAUUGUUCAAAAUAGUAACAUGUAUCGCUUUAGUAAAAUGGUGCCUAAAAUGGAUUAUCAUCAACUCCCAAUAUGUUGAUUUUAAACUGUGCAGGCAAGAAUUCAUUUAUGUGGCUUGGUCCCAUACCAAGAGUGCACAUAAUGGACCCUGAACAACUCAAAACUGUGUUCUCAUUCUACAAUGAUUUCCAAAAGCCAACUAUGAAUCCCUUUACCAAGUUGCUUGUACAAGGAAUUGUAAAUCUUGAUGGAGAAAAAUGGGUCAAACACAGAAAGAUAAUCAACCCUGCAUUUCAUUUAGAAAAGCUCAAGGUAUCUAUAGCUUUUUCUAAAAGUGAAAGAGAUGACUAUUUCAGUUUUUUUUUUCUUUCAAAAUACACUUUUAUUAUUAUCUAUAGUUCCUAAGAAACAAGAAAUGCAAUAAGAAAACGAAAAAAAGUUAUCAAACGAAGUACCUAAUUCUAAGUUCUCACACAUACCUUUACAUUGGCUCGUAGGAUAUGGUACCAGCAUUCUAUCACAGUUGUAACGAGAUGGUUAGCAAGUGGGAAAGCAUGGUCUCUAAAGAGGGAUCUUGUGAGUUAGAUGUAAUGCCUUAUCUAAAAAAUAUGGCUUCUGAUGUGAUUUCUCGGACUGCAUUUGGGAGCAGCUAUGAGAAAGGAAAAAAGAUCUUCAAGCUUCAAACUGAACUAACUAAUUUUGUGAUUCAAACUACCUUAGGGAUAUAUAUUCCUGGAUGGAGGUAAAAACACUAUUUAUAUCCAACAUGAUUGUAUAUACAUCUAUUGUGAAAUAAUUCAUGUCAUGAUUAUUAUUUUUUGUGCAGAUUUCUACCCACAAAGUUAAACAGAAAAAUGAAAGAGAUAAGCAAAGAGAUAACAACUUUGAUAUUGGGUAUUAUGGAUGAAAGAGAAAAGUCUAUGAAAGCAGGUGAAGCAAUACAAACUGAUCUAUUAAGCAUUCUCAUGGAAUCCAAUAUGAAUGAAAUUAAACAACAUGGAAACAAAAAAGACAUUGGAAUGAGCAUAGAAGAUGUUAUUGAAGAAUGCAAGCUUUUCUAUAUUGCUGGCCAAGAAACUACAGCAACAUUACUAGUCUGGACGAUGAUAUUGUUGAGUUCAUACUCAGAAUGGCAAGAGCGUGCAAGAGCAGAAGUCUUUGAGAUCUUUGGUAACAAGCAACCAAAUUAUGAUGGUUUAAAUAGACUAAAAGUUGUAAGUGUGAUAUCAUUCUCCAACGUUUACUCUCUAUUAAUCUUUUUUUUUUCAUUUUGAUUUCAUCUCAUAUGUGAAAUUUAAAUGCCCAUCUUCUAGUAUAAAACAAUCACAUGAGCAAGUUUUGGAGGUAUGAGUGAAUAUUCUUGGAAUGUUUUCUAACUAAAUCUCAAUCAAGCUUAUUGUCUUUAGAAGUUGAAGAGUAUAAAGGCUACGUGAUAAUUAAACUUGACAUCUAAGAAGCACAAACAUUUUAAUUUAACUAGGGUGUUUGUGUGUCAGACACUUAAGACACUCUAAUAGGUUUCAAACACCUUGUUAGUAUAAUAGAUUUAUGUUAGAAAACUAGUUGUACAGUGUCAAACAAGUCCAACAUUUAUUUAUAUGCAACCAAUGAUGAUUGGUAUACUAAAUAAUUUAUAAGCAUAUAAAUGAAGGACUUCUUUGACCUUGAAGUUUUUUUCUUGUAUAAAACUGGAUUAAACAUGUCCUUAUAAUGCCCAUGUCCUCAUUUAUAACAGUGGCCACUAUGUGGUCUCGUGUCGUGUCAUAUUCAUAUAUUGUAUUUGUAUAUGUGUUUCUUAGCAAGAUAAGUUGUAAAAGAGUGACACAUUGGCAUGUGACUUUUGAGAAUAAUGUGUCCUAAAAAGGUAUGUACAUGACAAGUGGCUUUUGCAAUGGUGCAGGUAACUAUGAUCUUCAAUGAGGUCCUCAGGUUAUACCCACCAGGGAGUCUGUUUGUUCGCAUUGUUAGGAAAGAAACAAGACUUGGAAAUUUGACUUUACCAGGAGGAGUAAUGUUAGGCUUACCAAUUGUUCUUAUCCAACGUGACCCUGAGUUAUGGGGAGAAGAUGCACAUGAAUUCAAUCCAGAGAGAUUUUCUGGAGGAGUUUCUAAAGCAACAAAAAAUCCAAGUGCUUUUAUACCAUUUGGAUGGGGUCCUAGAAUAUGCAUAGGACAAACCUUUGCUAUGAUUGAAGCAAAAAUGGCAUUAUCAAUGAUUCUACAACGUUUCUCAUUUGAGCUUUCGCCAUCGUACACACACUCUCCCAUUGCCAGUUUAACAACACAACCUCAACAUGGAGCUCAUAUCAUACUACACAAACUCUAGCUACCCUCUUAAAAUAUAUAUUAUUAGCUUGCAAAUUAUAAAAAGGCUAGGAAAGUACUCUGCUGCUUUGUCUAUGUAUAAUUUCAAAUCCUUUGUGAAAAAGAUACCUACACAAGGAAUUGAUAUCCUUUCAACUAGACACCUUUUCACUGCUACCCAGCACCUAAAUAAUAAACAGUUUUCAGGCUUGGGAUGUGAUUAAUGCUUGUUAUUGCACCAUUUUCUACUAAUAUUCACAAACUUUUCACCAUUUGAAAGGAAACUCAAUAUCCCUAGUCAAAUUUAUGCACUACAACUUUUGAAAACUAACCUUUCUUUCUCAUUAGUCCCCCUCAACAGCAUUCUACCAUAAAAUAUUCCAUACAUAAAACAAAAUGAUCAAAAUGAGAUGAUGAGACUGUAAACACCAAUUGUAAUACCCAAACACAGAAAUUCAAGAAGAGAAGUCUGUAAUUCUUGGAAACAUCUAACUAAAAUAACAUUAUUAGUUCAGACUAUAGUUUUGUUUGAUUAGAGUUCAUACAAAAGUACAUAAAUAAAAAUGGUCAAAAUCUAAAUGGUUGCGUUGCAUAUAUAAAUGACAACACAACAUGACAUAGAGGUAACUAAGAUUUGUAAAUGAGAUAAUUCUUAGACCAAUGGAUCAAGUCGUGCAAAAUGAAACAAAACUUAACCAACUAUUUUACCUAAACUGAUUGGGAUUUAUGGGGUGAGGGGCACAUGAGUUUACCAAAAAAAAUUAGAUAAAAGUUUAGUGAUAAUAAUCACUAAUACUUCUAACUAUAAAUAUUUAAAAAUGGAGUGAUUGAUAAUUAAAAUUAACCAAAAAAUUAGAAAAGGUAACUGAAUAAUAAAUUACAAACUCUAAAUAGAAAAUUUUGAGACCAAUCACAAAUUGUCACAUCAUUUACUAAAUUAAUGAUGAAAAAUACAAAUAUUUAAAUUUGAAACUAAUUAAAAAAUUGACAGGUGUCCUAAAUUAAAAUUGAAAACAUAAAUGAGUCAAUUCUAAUGAUGUCACAUGUUUUCAUUAUGACCGUUGGAUCAAGUUAAUUAUUUUGGUUCAAUUAAAUAUUAUGUACUUGAGCUAAGUUCAAAUGAGCCCAAAAGUAAGCUUAAUUUAGCUCGAAUACUAAAUAUGACCCAUAUCCAUAUUCAUGUGGUUAAGUCCAUAGGUCUAGUCCAUAGACCAACUAGACUCAACCCAUAAAGUUCAUCAAAGAACUCUAUAAAAAGAGGAGUUCUCCUCAUUUGUAAGAAGUUGAUCACCCUUGAAGAUUGAAGCUAUUUUGAAGAUACAAGAUAUCUUCCAAGACUCCAACUUCAACAAGCUCUCUUCCAAUACUCCAAAGAAUUUACCCAAGAGCUAGAAGACUCCCUAGCUUCUGAAGUCGACCGACCUCGAAGAUUAAAGCUCAUUUGAAGAUACAAGAUCUCUCUUCCAACACUCCAACUUCCCUCGAAGAUUAAAGCUCCUUUGAGUUUUCUUCUAAGACUCCAACUUCUCCAACUUCAAGAACAUCACGUGCUUUGCUUCCUCCAAAUCAAGCGUAGACGUUCAAUCGAGAGAGAAUCAAAUGAUCAAAUUCUAGCAAUCGAACCACAUCGCAUCAAAUCAACAAAACUAUAACAUCAACUUAAGUUCAACUCCACAAAUCAAAUUUCUUCAAAAAUCUUGUGCGAACAAAUUGGCAUGUCCAGUAAGACCUCUCUAUUUCUCAUCUCUCUCUCGCAUCAAAUCAACACAAGCACAACAUCAACUCAAGUUCAACUCCACGAAUCAAAUUUCUUCGAAAAUCUCGUGCGAACAAAUCUACAUACCUAAACCCAUGGACUCAACCACAUGGAUUUUGGUCAUAUUUAGCAUUUGGGCUCAAGUAAUCUUAUUUUUGGGCUCAAUUGAACUUAGCCCAAGUAAACAAUAUUUAAUUGAAUCAAAACAAUUAACUUAAUCUAACGGUUAGGAUGAAAACAUGUGACAUCAUCAUAAUUGGCCAAUUUAUGUUUUCAAUUUUAAUUUGGGACGCAUGUCAAUUUUUUUAAUCAGUCUCAAAUUCAAUUAUUUCUACUUUUCAUCGUUAAUUUAGUAAAUGAUGUGACAAUUUGCGAUUGGUCUAAAAAUUUCCUAUUCAACCGCUGAAAAUGGAACGAAGCAUGAGCUUUCCACACCGAUGACCAAUGCCCAUUGCCCGUUCUUCUUUUUACCAAAUAGGCCAUUAAUAAUAAAAAUAUCUUUUUAACUUUUCUCAUAAGAUAAAGAAAAGUGAACAAAUUAAAAAAAACACACAACAAUCAAAAUUAAACUGGAAUUUCUUCUAUGAUGGAUAAAUCUUCAAACCAAAUUGUUUGUGUGUUUAAUCUUUAAACACAUUAAAUUAAGUAAGCUCAUGUACAACAAAAUUAAAGACACUCCUAACAAAGGAAGUAGUCUAAUGCAAUACAACGAGAAUGAAUCUCACUAUAAUAAUAUCCUUAGACACAACGAGGAAUGAUGAAUAAAAUUUUGUAGUUUUACAACGAUGAUUGAUGACAUAUUUGUUAAAAGUAUAUGCAUCUACAAAAGAGAAAACACAACGUCCAAGAGACGAAUACAAAUUUUGUCCAACUUUCACUUCUGUGUUCGAAAUAUUAUUUUAAUUUUCAAUUUUAUGUUAAGUUAGUCUCUCAUAUAUCUCUCCUUCCAAAAAAACAAAAGUAAUUUAUAUAUUUUGGAAGUUUAAACCAAUUUCCAUCUAUGGGAAUUGAAAUUAAACAGUAUGCCGGCACACAUUCAUUUUUCUUUCUUUUCAAUAAAAACAAAAAUGAUGGUGAGGAUUACAAUGCAACAUAACAACUCUUUUUAGUUCAACAACAUACCAAUUAUUGUUUCACUUCAAUCUAUUCUUUUUCUUUUUGACAACACAUCAAUUGUUUUUUACAACAUUACGAAAGUAUCAUUCAAAUAUAAAUUACUGAUCAAUUCUUACUUUAUAUAUAUAUAUAUAUAUAUUAUAUAGAAAAAAAGAGUCAAGUAUUAUUUUCUAUGGCACAAAUGUUUUUCUUUUUAAAUAAUUCUUUAUUUUUAUAAUCAUUAAAUUGUAUAUAUAUAUAUAUAUAUUAUUGUGAUAAGAAUUGCAUAGAUUGUGGGGUUGUAAAUGGAGAAGAGAGAAGAGAAGUAAGAGAACUGAAAACCCCAAAGUUCAGUUAAUUGAGAUUUACAAAGAUGUCGUAUGUUGUAGAUACGAUUUCAAAUCGCAUAGUAAUGAUAAUCAGUUUCGUUUUAUUGUUAGUAUUAUUAAUAUUGGGAUGGAAAAUAGUUGAUUGGAUUUGGUUCCGCCCGAAGAAACUAGAGAAGCUUUUAAGACGGCAAGGAUUCACCGGAAAUUCAUACCGGAUUCUCCACGGCGACUUGAAGGAGAGUGCCGCCAUGAGAAAGGAAGCAAUGUCCAAGCCCAUGAACUUCUCCAAUCAUAUUGCUCCACGUGUCAUUCCCUCUGUCUAUCAUACCAUCCAAAUUUAUGGUAAACACUUUAUCCCCAACAUUUCCUUCUCAUCCUUUUCUUCUUCUUCAAAUAAGAUUUAAAGAAAUAAAUAAAAAUUAGGGUUUGAUUUAUUUUAUUACAUUUUUGUUUUGUGUUUGAAAAUUAAUUUUAUAAACUUUUAUUAUUUCAUCUCUAUUUUCAAUCAAUCCUUUACAAAACCAUGUAAAUUUUUAAACACUAAAACUACCCUACUUUUUUUCCUUCUUAGAAUAAUUUACUUAUUUUUACUUGAGAAAAAUUAAAACGUGUAAGCAAAUGGAAGGCUUAAUUUAAUUUAAUUUAAUUUAAUUUAAUUUUGUUUUUUUAAAAGAAAAUUAAAACAAUAAAACACAUAUUCCAAGUAACAAUUUGAAUAUUUGGAAAGAUAUAAUUUCAAUUUUAUAACAAUUUAGUCAUAAUUGAAAUCUAUCUUCAACUUUUAUUAUUUUAUGAGGUAUAAUAUACUAUGUAUUUGGUAAAAAUACCUUGUCACUUAUUAGUUUUUCGGCUUAUUAAUGAAAGAAAUUUUAUUCAAUUGUAACACUAAAUUCUAGUAUAGAAUUUAAAUAAUUACAAAUUUUAUAGGAUAAUAACUAAAUUUUUAUAUAGGAACUAAAUUGCUAUAUUGUUGUAAUAGCUCCAAGAAGUAAAAGUAUAUAUAUCAAUGGUCCUCGAAGUUAUGUUUACUGAAUUUCUACACAAAUUAGGAUUCUAAUAUAUUCAGCAGUCAACCUAAUAUAUACAUAGUUUAACAGAUUAAAAUAGAGAUCAUUGGAUAAAAAAAUUGAAAAAUUAUUUUAAAGGGUAGAAGUGUUCAAAAUAUUUUACAUCUAUCACUUCAGUAAAACUAUGCCUAAAAUGGAUUAUCAAGUCCCAAUAUAUAUGUUGAUUUUGAACUGUGCAGGCAAGAAUUCAUUUAUGUGGCUUGGUCCCAUGCCAAGAGUGCACAUAAUGGACCCUGAACAAAUCAAAACUGUGUUCUCAUUCAUCAAUGAUUUUCAAAAGCCAACUAUGAAUCCCCUUACCAGGUUGCUCGUACAAGGAAUUGCAAAUCUUGAAGGAGAAAAAUGGGCCAAACACAGAAAGAUAAUCAACCCUGCAUUUCAUUUAGAAAAGCUUAAGGUAUCUAUAUCUUUUUGUAAGAGUGAGAGAGAUUACUAUUUCUACUUCUUCUCUUCGGGUUUGAUAACCAUUUUGGUUUUUUUUUUCAAAAUACAUUUUUAUUAUUAUCUCUACUUCCUAAGAAACAAGAAAUAUAAUAGAAAGCGAAAAAAGUUAUCAAACGAAGCACAAAAUUUCAAGUUCUCACGCAUACGUUUACGUUGGCUUGUAGGAUAUGGUACCAGCAUUCUAUCACAGUUGUAACGAGAUGGUUAGCAAGUGGGAAAGUAUGGUCUCUAGAGAGGGAUCAUGUGAGUUAGAUGUAAUGCCUUGUCUUAAAAAUAUGGCUUCUGAUGUGAUUUCUCGAACUGCAUUUGGGAGUAGCUAUGAGAAAGGAAAAAAGAUCUUCAAGCUUCAAACUGAACUAGGUAAUUUGGUGAUUCAAGCUAGCUUAGGGAUAUAUAUUCCAGGAUGGAGGUAAAAACACUAUCCAUCUACAACAUGAUUAUAUAUACAUCUAUUGUGAAAGAAUUCAUAUCAUGAUUAAUAUUUUUUGUGCAGUUUUCUACCCACAAAGUCGAACAGGAAAAUGAAAGAAAUAAGUAAAGAGAUAACAACUUUGAUAUUGGGUAUUAUGAAUGAAAGGGAAAAGUCUAUGAAUGCAGGCGAAGCAAUACAAACUGAUCUGUUAAGCAUUCUCAUGGAAUCCAAUAUGAAUGAAAUUAAACAACAUGGAAACAAUAAGGACAUUGGAAUGAGCAUAGAAGAAGUUAUUGAAGAAUGCAAGCUUUUCUAUAUUGCUGGCCAAGAAACUACAGCAACGUUACUAGUCUGGACGAUGGUAUUGUUGAGUUCGUACUCAGAAUGGCAAGAGCGUGCAAGAGCAGAAGUCUUUGAGAUCUUUGGUAACAAGAAACCAAAUUAUGAUGGUUUAAAUAGACUAAAAGUUGUAAGUGUGAUAACUUUCUCCAACAUUUACUCUCUAUUAAUCUAUUUUUCUUAUUAAUCUAUUUUUCUCAUUUUGAUUUCAUCUCAUAUGUGAAAUUUAAAUGCCCAUCUUCUAAUAUAAAACAAUCACAUAAGCAAAUCUUGGAGGUAUGAGUAAAUAUUCAUGAAAUGUCUUCUAACUAAAUCUCAAUCAAGCUUAUUGCCUCUAGAUAUCAUGGAAGUUGAAAAAAAGAUAAAGGCUACAUGAUAAACUUGACAUCUAAAAAGCACAAACAUUUUAAUUUGACUUAAGGUAGACAUGUGUAAAAUUCUAUUCAACGUGUCUUCAUAAUGUUCAUUAUAUAACAGUGACCCCUCUAUUCAUAUAUUGUAUUUGUAUCUAUGUUUCUUAGCAAGACAAGUUGUAAGAGAGUGCAUGACACAUUGACAUGUGACUUUUGGGAAUGUGUCCUAAAAUUAUAUGUACAUGACAAGUGGCUUUUGCAAUGGUGCAGGUAACUAUGAUCUUCAAUGAAGUCCUCAGGUUAUAUCCACCAGUGAGUAUAUUUGGUCGCAUUGUUAGGAAAGAAACAAAACUUGGAAAUUUAACUUUACCAAAAGGAGUAAUGUUAGGCUUACCAAUUGUUCUUAUCCAACGUGACCCUGAAUUAUGGGGAGAAGAUGCACAUGAAUUCAACCCAGAGAGAUUUUCUGAAGGAGUUUCUAAAGCAACAAAAAAUCCAUGUGCUUUUAUACCAUUUGGAUGGGGCCCUAGGAUAUGCAUAGGACUAAACUUCACCAUGAUUGAAGCAAAAAUGACAUUGUCAAUGAUUCUACAACGCUUCUCAUUUGAGCUUUCCCCAUCAUAUACACACAGUCCUAGUGCAAGUUUAACAACACAGCCUCAACAUGGAGCUCACAUCAUACUACACAAACUGUAAUAAUUACCUUCUUAAACUAUGUAUUAGCUUGCACAAUUAUCAUAAUUAAGACUAGGAAUGUUCUCUGCUUUGCUUAUAACUUCUAAUAUAUCAUUUGAGAAAAUUUUAGUUACACAUGUUCUUUAUAUUUUCCUUUCAACUAAAUUUUCUUUUUCAUUACUCACUGGCUCGUAAAUAAACAGUUUUCAAGUUAAUGGCAUCUACAUUUUUUUCAACUUGGGAUGAUUAAUCCUUAUAAUUGUACCAUUUUUUGUUUAAUGUGAAGGAAAAAUCUCAUCAGUCAUAAAUAAUAAGUUCGUUAUUCAAAAUAGUGAAAUUCACGCAUUGAAAACUAACUUUUUUUUUUCUCAACGUCAUUUUUUCAAAUGGUUUGUAUGCAAUGAAUUUCUCAGCAGCAUUCUAUCUAACCUUCAACCAUAAAAAUAUACAACACAACAAAGGUUCAAAAUGAGAUUUUGAAACUCUACCCACCAAAUGUAAUACUCAUUGCAUAUGAAACUCUACCCACCAAUUCAAGAAGAGGCUGUAAUUCUUGGAAACAACAUGCAACUACAACUACAUUAUAUUUGGUAAGAGCAAACAAGAAUAGAGAUCAUGGAAGUCUUUGUAACUAGUGGCACUUACUCUAGUUUCUAACGUUUUAAUCUAUUCAAGUCCACGUACUUAAUUUGGCUGAUUUUCAUAAAGAUAACACACAUAAAUGGAAGAUAAAUUAGGAUUUGAAAAUGCUCAAAAAAGUAUAUUCUUUAACGUUUUAAAAGUGAUUAUAUACUUCAAUACUAUCCCUAAAAUUGCUACAAACCUAAAUAAAUAAUAUUCACCACACCACAAUUAUGAUAGGAUUAAACUCAUGGUCUAUGAAAUAAAUAUGUUGAAAGUGGGUUAAGGAACACAAUUAGGUACGACUUAUUAAUAAUUCUAUUAAGUUUCUGUUUUCCUUUCUUUGAAUUUAUGCUAAUGGUUUGAUUCUAUGUUACUGGAGCAUGAAGUUUGAUAAACAAAAUGAUUAAGUAUUGAAUAGGUACACUGUGGAAACAAAAACAAAAAUAAGAAACCAUCAAAAUGACACAAUUUAAGGAAACAUAAACCCAACAAAUAACCAACCCAGAAAAUUAGUACAUUUCAAUAGAUCAAAUGCUAAAAGUAGCUUUAUACUACUCUAACCUUCUUCAAAUGCUAUCAAGAAAAGAACAUAAGGGACAAAACAACUUCUUCUUUGAUGCCCUAAACAUAAGUUCUCUACAAAUAAAAAUAAAUUUACAUUACAUUAUAUCAAUAGAGAAAGAAAACCUCCCAAUCAACAAAAAAGAAAAAAAAAAACAAUCAAAACGUAUAAAUAAAAAUCUCUACAUCUCAUGAGCUUAAGAAAAAGUAUCAAGUAAAUUAUAAGCAGAAAGUUAGAAUGAAAUCAAUACCAAUCCAGCCCUAAACAACAUCCCUGCAAAAGUUGAAUGAAAGAGAUUUUUGCUUAAUACUUAUUAUAUUUUCUUGUUUCCAAAUAUGUUUAGUCAAAACUCAGAAAUCACCAUGAUUUUUCUAGUAAUUAGAGGGAGUUUCUCAAAACAAAGCUAGAAAAAGCAACAACUUCCAUGGAAAUUUGAAAGGGAGCAUUGGAUUGGAAGAGAUAUUCUAUUAUCUAGUGAAAGCAUAGGAAUCAAGAUAUUCUACACACAUAUAUGAUGUUGUUAUUGUGGAUAGUAUAAAUGGGUGUAAAAGGAGUAUAACUCUCAAACUUAAUUCUUUGAUUAUCACGAUUCCAUCUCUGUUUGGUCUCUGGAUCUCAUCGUCGGCUAACUCAUCACCUUCAGCCAUGGGUUCUUCAUCCAAAUUUGUUUCUUUUCACGCUGAAUUUUAUAUUUUAUAUUUGGUUCUUCAGCCAUGGGUUCUUCAUACAUCCUGUGGAUUAGCACGCCCUCACUUACUGUGUUCAUAUAUUAUUUCUGAUCUUGUUUCUAUUAGGAAGUUAGUUGUGGACUUUUGAAACUUUGUUUGGGCAGUUGUGUGUGGCUAAAUUUCUUAGAUGGAGAAACAUGAAGUUGCUCGUCUCAUCAGCACCAUUCUUGAUGGAACAAAUUAUAUUAUUUGGACCCACCAAAUGAGGAGUUUUUUGAUAGGUCGAAAGUUAUGGAGUUUCUUGCCCAUCAAGGUACUCUAAUUCAACGCUCAUGUCCUCACACAUCUCAGCAAAAUAGAAGAGUUGAACGCAAACAUCGUCACAUUCUUGACUCUGUUCGCGCUCAGCUUCUAUCUGCUGCUUAUCCAAAAAAAUUCUGGGGCGAGGUUGCCCUCACCUCUGUCUAUAUCUUUAAUCGUCUUUCUUCAAAAGUCACUCACAAUGUUUCCCCAUUUGAACGACUAUACGGUACUUCCCCCUCUUACUUCAAUCUCAAGAUUUUUUGUUGUGCAUGUUUCGUAUUAUUACAUCCUCAUGAACAUACCAAACUUGAACCACGUGCACGUCUAUGUUGCUUCUUGGGUUAUGGUACUGAACAUAAAGGAUUUCGUUGUUGGGACCUCAUCUCUCAACGAUUACGUAUAUCUCGUCACGUUACCUUUUGGGAACAUCCUCUGUUUUCUAGUCUCUCUUCAUUCCAUGAAUUUCUUUCAAGUCCUCACCCAUUCUUCAUCGAUCCUUCUAUUGACCUCUUUCCCACACUUGACUCGCCGUCUGACACUACAUCACAUUGUGGGUAAAAUGAAAGCAUUUGAAGUUAAUAUACUGUACAAAUACAAAUAAUAGAAAUAAUGGUUGAGAUUCACCGGUGAGAUCAGCGAUGCAAGGGGUGUUGGGUGGUGGCGUCGGCUGAAGGAGAGAAAUAGGAGGAUUUCUGGCGUGUUGUUCCCGACGUGCGUGAGAGAGGGAGAGAGAUGGUUAGCGGAGGGGAGGAAAAAUCGAGAAUGAGGGGUGACGCGUGGAUCUUCCAUAAAGAAGAAGAAAAAAAGAAGAAGAGAAGAAGAAGAAGAAGAUGAGGAGGUAGGGGAAGGGAAAAAUCUUAUUUUAAUAAACUUUUGAUUUAAAAUGAAUUUUAUUUUAAUAAAUUAAAUAAAUUAUUUUUUGUAUCUUUUAUGACACCAAAUAACUGUCACGAAAAGUGAAAUACGAAAAACUUCGUCUUUUCCCCCUAAAAACUCGAAUUUUUAGCUUUCAUGACAGUUUUUUUUUUCUCCUUUCAAUUUGGGAUGUAUACAACUGUCAUAGUAGGUAGUUUUUCUUGUAGUGGUUGUAUAUAUAUAAUUGAGUUGAAUUGGAUUAAUGAUAUUUGUUGCAUUUAUUUAUGAACUAAAAAAAUUGUAUUGGGUAUUUUUGUUUGCUUAACUAUUUAUGUAACUAUUCAUUAUCCAUUAUGCUUAAUACCCGUAUAGUCAUGUGUCACACUCCUUCAAAACACAUGACAUGUAAUUUACUCCAUACUUACCAAAUUGUUUAUAGAUAGUGGUAUUUGGUAAAUUUUGAAGAAUACACGUAUCCGUGAAAUGUCCAAAGAAACAGAAUGUAGAAUUUGUGGAGAUUUUGAGAUUUUCUAAUUUCUAAGAUUUCUUUAAUUUUUAUUUAUUUAGUUCAUUUAUUUAUUUUAAUAUUAUAUUUUCUCAAUUUUUGUGUUCCAGUUGUUUCUUAUUUAAAUACAACAAAAAUAGAUAUAUUAGAAUUGAAAUUGCUUAAAUAAAACUAUAAUAUGUAUUUGCUUUAAUAUGAAUUUUAGAAGUAAAAGUAUUAUUUGAUAUUUGAUGUUGUUAAAAAAAUAAGAUUAGGUUUUCAAUUUAGUUGUCGAAAAUCAUACCAAUAUGAGCUUAGUUCAACUGGCACAUGCAUCUUCUUGUGGACAAGAGGUCCCGAAUUCAAAUCCUCAUCCCAGCAUUUAUUAUAAUACAUUUGUAAAAAAGAAAAUGAUAUCUUUCAAUAAUUCAAUUAAUGAUUGUCCUAUGUAAUUUUGACGAAUUCAAAAGGUUACGUAAAUGUAAUUUUAUUUUAAAUUAAUGAUUGUCCUAUAUAAUUAAUGAUUGUCCUAUAUUAGAGUUAUGUGUAAUAUACAUAUAGCCAUGUGUCAUUGAAGAAGUUGAGAGUCCCACAUAUGAAAAACUAAGGAGACUCAUAUUCUAUAUAACAUAGAUAUGUUAGAUUCAUAUUCCAUAUAACAUAGAUGAGUUACUUCUUUUAAGUGACUACGUAAUCUACCGUUAUUUUGUAAGUUUUGAAGAAUACAGAUAUGGGUGAAAUGUAAAAAAAGAAAAUGGAAGAAUUUCCUAAUUCAAAGUUUUCUUUUAAUUUUUAUUUUCUUUCUUUAUUAUUAUUUAUUUAUUUAUUUAUUUUAAUAUUUUAUUUUUUCAACUUUCCUAUUUAUUGCGCCUUAUUUUUACCCCAAGAAACUAUUGCUUAAAUAAAACUACCAUAUAUAUUUGCUUUAAUAUGAAUUUUAGAAGGAAAAGUAGUAUUUGAUAUUUCAUAUUAUGUUAAAAUACUAUAACUAUCCAAAUAUUAAUGGGGUGGACAAUAAUAAUAUAUCUUUCAAUAGUUCAAUUAAUCAUUGUAAUUAUGACAAAUUAAAAAGUUUACGUAAAAGAUAAUGAAUACUUUAAUGACAAAUUAAAAAGUUUACGUAAAUGAUAAUGAACACUUAAAUGACAAAUUAAAAAGUCUACUUAAACGAUAAUGAACACUUCAAUCAAUUUUUCUUCCACCUCAACAAUAAAUAUAUAUAUUUCAACUCACCAAUAUCUUACUGUUAAUUUUGCAUAUGCUCAUUUUAAAUAGUUGUAAAAAAUUUAUUUGUUUUUCUUUUAAACUGACUUAAUUUCUAAAUUAGAUAUUUUAGAAUGUAUUCCAUACACAUUUGUAAUAAUAAUCAUUUUGAAAGAAGUUGUACUUAGGCUAUAUAACUUUAAAGUAAGGUGUUAAAAGAUUAAUACAUGUUUUUCUUUUCUUUUUGUUUUUUAUAGUUUAACAAAUAAAAUAAAAGUAACGAAGAUCAUUUCAACUUAAACAAACAAAAUAUAUAUCAAUAAUUGUUUAGUUAGGUUGAGAUUUGGCUUUUAAAUCAACUAAUUAGUAUAUUAGAAAAGCAAUAAAAUUAUUAUAAUUUAAGUUCAUAUUUAGGAGAUGAUUUAACUUAAGGUUUUAUAAAUAUAUGAGAAUAAAAAAUGUGUUUGUAUUUAAUUUAUGACAUUAAGAAUCAAAUAUAGAUUAUUUGAUAAAUAAAUAAUAAAUAUGAAUCUAAUAUAUUGAUAAAAGUUGAGUAAUUAAGAACCACUAAUAGUUUUAACUAUAAUUAUUCAAAAAUCAAAUAAUUAAUAAUCAAAAUUAACCAAAUAUCAAAUGUCCAAAAAACAAAGUAAUUAUCCAAUUAAUAUAUUUUAAUGAAAGUGAUACUAAAUAAUAAAUUAUGCAUGAAAAUGUUAUCAAAUUUUCCUAAGAGUUAAGUAAUGUGGAUGUUGUUUUUUUCUUUCUUUUUUUUUUUUUUUGUAUGAUAAUAUCAUCAUCUUUGACAUAAAUAAAUGAUAUUUUAUUUAAAUUCUGUGAGAUCACUUUGACAAAUUGUAUGCAAUAAUAAAGUAUUAAAUCACUCAAAUUUAAUUUUCAUUAAUUAAUUUUAAAUAGUUAAUUUAUUAUUUUAAAUUAAUAUUCUUAAACAGUAUAACUUUAUAUAUUAUAUUCAUAGAAAAGAAUAACUUUAUGAAACAAAUUUAUAACAAUAACAUAAAUAAUAGAAGAUGUAAGAAAAUAAAUAUGUUUAAAAGAUAAACAUAAUAAUAUGUCCCCGAAUACAAACUAUAUAAUAUAAUAAUCUACUCUAUCUUUGUUCGUCUUCUAAAUUAGAAAAAAUAUAUAUAUAUUUCUAAAUAAGAAGAAAAUGUUAGUAAGACAAUUAAAAAGUUAAUUCAAAUAGAUGAAAAUGGGACGAAACAUAAGAUCUAAUAAUAGAACUUUAAACAAAUUAAUUUCGAUAUAUUGUGAUUGAAAUUAAAUAGUGUUGUAUUUUCAAUAAAACAAAAAUGAGGGUGAGGAUUACAAUCUAACAUUUCAACUUGCUUUUUGAGUGAGAGAGAUUCAAAUUAAUCUAUAACUUUGCAAUCUUAAAAUAUGUGUUAAAGUCACUGCAAUAACAUUAAUAUUAAAGUGACAUAUAAAUAGGAUUAAAUGAGUAAAGAAAAGACUUUUAAAUUGAGAAGAAAAAAAAAAAAAGAUGAACACACGAAUUAAGUCGAGAAAAUUUUUUUCUUAAAUUGUAUUCUCAUUUUUUUAAAAAAAAAUUCUCAAACAUGUCAUGUGAUCUUUCGAGAAAUCUUAAACCAUUUAAAAUUAUUGAUUUAUUCUUUAGUUUUAUAUAUAUAUAUAUAUAUAAAGUAAAGUAUUAUUUGAUCCUAAAGUUUGAUUUAAAUCAUAUUUAUGUCACUGAAUUUUCAAAUUGAAUAAGUUUACCAAAGUUUGGUGUUCAUACCACUGUUAGGGUAAUCUCAUUUUCUAUGGCACACAUUUUUUCUUCUUAAAAAAAUCUUUAUUUUUAUAAUCAUUAAAUUUAAAAGGAAAAAAUCAAUAUAUACUUUUAUUGUUUUUCUAUAUGUAUAUAUAUGUAUUGUGAUAACAAUUGGAAAGACUGUGGAGUUAUAAAGAGAGGAGAGAAACUUAAGAGAACUCAAUACCCAAUUUGAUUGUUAUUGAGAUUUAGAAAGAUGUGGUAUGUUCCCCAUAUGAUUUCAACUCCCAUAGUGAUCAUAACAAGUUUGGUUUUAUUGUUAUUAUUAUUCUUGGGAUGGAAAUUAGCUGAUUGGAUUUGGUUCGGGCCGAGGAGAUUAGAGCAGCUUUUAAGACGGCAAGGGUUCACCGGAAAUUCAUACAAGAUUCUUCACGGCGACAUGAAGGAGAGUGCUGCCAUGAGAAAGGAAGCACUGUCCAAGCCCAUGAAAUUCUCCAAUCAUAUUGCUCCACGAGUCAUUCCAUCUGUCUAUCAUACCAUCCAACGUUAUGGUAACACUUUAUCCCCUACUUUUCCUUCUCAUCCUUUUCUUCUUCUUCUUCUUUAUCUUUUUCUUCAAAGAAAUAAAUAGAAAUCAGGGUUUGAUUUGGUAUUGAAGGGCUGUGUUUUAUAUGAUUAGAUAAUUUCUAUUUAUUGUUUGAAAAUUAAUUUUAUAAACAUUUAUUUCAUCUCUGUAUGUUGUUCUAUUAUCAACUAUCUGUUUUCAAAAACAAUGCAAAUUUUUAAAGAUUUUACCAUAAAUACUGGUGUUAUUGGGAGGCUUAAUUUUAUUUUAUUUUUCUUAAAGAAAAAAAAACACUUUUGAUUCUUAUACUACUUUGGUUUUGCUUGUAACGAUUUACUUUCAAUUGUCUAAUAAUUUAAUUCAUCUAAUAUGUCCAUAUUUAUUAUUUUAUGUCUUAGAUAUACUGUGUAUUUGGUAAAGAUAUUGAGUUUAUCGAUUUUUUUUUAUGAAAGAAAUCCUAUUAGAUUGUAACACUAAAUUCUGCACAUAAUUUAAACAAUAAUAACUAGAUUUUUAUACAAGGAUGAUACACAAUGGACUAUCGCAACAAAUAAAAGCUUAAGGGGGCUAAAAAUAUAUAUAUCAAGGAUCCUAAAAGUUAUGAUCAGCAGCCAAAUCGCGGCAAAAAUGGAUAUUUACAUCUAUCACUUUAGUAAAACGGUGCCUAAAAUGGCUCCCAAUAUGUUGAUUUUGAACUGUGCAGGCAAGAAUUCAAUGAUGUGGCUUGGUCCCUUGCCAAGAGUGCACAUAAUGGACCCUGAACAACUCAAAACUGUGUUCUCAUUCUUCAAUGAUUUCCAAAGGCCAACUACGGAUCCCUUUAUCAGGCUUCUUAUACAUGGACUUGUAAGUCUUGAAGGAGAAAAAUGGGUUAAACACAGAAAGAUAAUCAACCCUGCAUUUCAUUUAGAAAAGCUCAAGGUAUCUAUCUCUUUUUGAAGAGUGAAAGAGAAUACGAUUUCUGCUUCUUGUGUUUUUUUUUCUUCAAAAUACAUUUUUAUUAUUAUCUCUAGUUCCUAAAAAAUAAGAAAUAUAAUAGAAAACGAAAAACAUAUAAUUUCAAGUCCUCAUACAUACCUUUACCUUGGCUUACAGGCCAUGGUACCAGCAUUCUACCACAGUUGUAAUGAAAUGGUUAGCAAGUGGGAAAGCAUGGUCUCUAGAGAGGGAUCUUGUGAGUUAGAUGUAAUGCCUUAUCUACAAAAUAUGGCUGCCGAUGUGAUUUCUCGAACUGCUUUUGGGAGUAGCUAUGAGAGAGGAAAAAAGAUCUUCAAGCUACAAACUGAACUAACCAAUUUGGUGAUUCAAGCUAGCUUAGAGACAUAUAUUCCAGGAUGGAGGUAGAAACACUAUCCAUCUUACCACAUAAUUAUAUACAUCUAUUGUGAAAAAUUUCAUAUCAUGAUUUAAUAUUUUGUGCAGAUUUCUACCCACAAAAUCAAACAGGAAAAUAAAAGAGACGAAUAGAGAGAUAACAACUUUAGUAUUGGGCAUUAUAAAUGAAAAGGAAAAGUCUAUGAAAGCAGGUGAAGAAAUACAAACUGAUCUGUUAAGCAUUCUCAUGGAAUCCAAUAUGAAUGAAAUUAAACAUGGAAGAAACAGUAAGGACGUUGGGAUGAGCAUACAGGCUGUUAUUGAAGAAUGCAGGCUUUUCUAUAUUGCUGGCCAAGAAACUACAGCAACAUUACUAAUUUGGACGAUGGUAUUGUUGAGUUCAUACUCAGACUGGCAAGAACGAGCAAGAGCAGAGGUCUUUGAGAUCUUUGGUAACAAGAAACCAGAUUACGAUGGUUUAAAUAGACUAAAAGUUGUAAGUGUGAUAACAUUUCCAACAUUUACUCUCUAUUAAUAUAUUUUUCUCAUUUUUAUUUCAUCUUCUAAUAUAAAACAAUCACAUGAGCAUGUAUUAUACGUGUCCUUAUCAUGCCCAUAUGUCCAAGAUUAUAUAACAGUUAUGUGCCACUAUAUAGGUGUUUUGUCGUGUCAUAUUCAUAUAGUGUAUUUGUAUCUACGUUAGCAAGGCAAGUUGUGCGACUUUUGGGAAUGUGUUAUAAAACGGUAUGUAUUAGCUAGUACAUGACAAUAGACUUUUCCAAUGAUGCAGGUAACUAUGAUUUUCAACGAGGUCCUCAGGUUAUACCCACCAGUGAGUAUGUUAGGUCGCACUACUAGGAAAGAAACAAAACUUGGAAAUAUGACUUUACCAGGAGGAAUAAUGCUGAGCUUACCAAUUAUUCUUAUCCAACGUGACCCAGAGUUAUGGGGAGAAGAUGCACAUGAAUUCAAUCCAGAGAGAUUUUCUGAAGGAGUUUUUAAAGCAACAAAAAAUCCAGGUGCUUUUAUGCCAUUUGGAUGGGGUCCUAGAAUAUGCAUAGGACAAAAUUUUGCCAUGAUUGAAGCAAAAAUGGCAUUAUCAAUGAUCCUACAACACUUCUCAUUUGAGCUUUCGCCAUCAUACACACACACUCCCUUUGCCGCCUUAACAACACAACCUCAACAUGGAGCUCAUAUCAUACUACACAAACUCUAGUGCCUCUUAACCUAUUUAUUAUUAGCUUGCACAUUAUCAGAAGGCUAGGAAAGCACUGUGCUUUGUCUGGUAUAAUUUCAAAUCCUUUGAGAAAAAGAUACCUACUACAAAAGGAAUUGAUAUCCUUUCAACUAGACACCCUUUUCAUUGCCACCCAGCUCCUAAAUAAUAAACAGUUUCAGGCUUGGGAUGUGAUUAAUGCUUGUUAUUGCACCAUUUUCUACUAAUGUUCACAAACUUUUCACCAUCCGAAAAGAUACUC
rnacentral:lncRNA from 1 species